CGGAAGCCCGGCUGCCUUUUGAGUCACCCUACAGGCGCCCCAGGACGGAGGCCCACGUGGUGCUUUGCCCAGAAGAGAUCAAGAGAAGGGACCCCAAAGCCUGAGAAUUCAAAAGUGUCAGGAAGCAGAUGUGGUUCAAGUGAUUGUGCUCCUGCCUACCACAUGGGGAGUCCCUGGUUCUCUACCUGGUGCCUCCCUUAAAGAAGACAGUGAGCUGGUGUG
rnacentral:lncRNA from 1 species